rnacentral:rRNA from 1 species
AGAGUUUGAUCCUGGCUCAGAUUGAACGCUGGCGGCAGGCCUAACACAUGCAAGUCGAGCGGUAACAGGGAUAGCUUGCUAUCUGCUGACGAGCGGCGGACGGGUGCGUAACACGUAGGAAUCUACCCAGUAACGGGGGAUAGCCCGGGGAAAUCCGGAUUAAUACCGCAUACGCCCUACGGGGGAAAGCAGGGGAAUCUUCGGGUCCUUGCACUAUUGGAUGAGCCUGCGUCGGAUUAGCUAGUUGGUGGGGUAAAGGCCUACCAAGGCGACGAUCCGUAGCUGGUCUGAGAGGAUGAUCAGCCACACUGGGACUGAGACACGGCCCAGACUCCUACGGGAGGCAGCAGUGGGGAAUAUUGCACAAUGGGCGCAAGCCUGAUGCAGCCAUGCCGCGUGUGUGAAGAAGGCUCUAGGGUUGUAAAGCACUUUCAGCGAGGAGGAAAGGUUGUAAGUUAAUACCUUACAGCUGUGACGUUACUCGCAGAAGAAGCACCGGCUAACUCCGUGCCAGCAGCCGCGGUAAU